UUUUUUUUCGCCUGUUCUGUCUGCUGUCUCUGCUCUGCCAUCUCUCAUAGGAUUACAGCACCUCCGCUCCGGUUUCCUGAUCUACCUCUAUCUGCCCUGCCGCUGUUUAGCAGCUCUGUGUCCUGGAUGUGACCGCUGUCCAGCGGCACUGAGAUGAGCCAUGACCGCUGCCCUGCUGUUACUGUCGGCCUUCAUUGCCGAUUGCAGUCCGGAGUUCUGUUUUACACAAGACCAGGACUGGAUAGACAGAGCUUCCUUGAAAGCUGCUGGAGCAAUCGACGGCUGCCAUGUCCACAUUGAGCCACCAAGCGCCCCUGUUGGUGACUGCUACAGAAGCAGGAAAUGAUUGCUUUCAAUGAUUCUCAAGGCUGUUUGUGACCAUCAGGGCUGCUUCAUUAGGUCAUAACAGCCUGUGCCAUCCUCCACAACAUCUGCCUUGGGGUUGGUGACAUUACUUCAAGGAUUAACAUUAGGAAAGGGGAGCAGCCAGUGCUGCGCCAUGGUGAGGGCAGAUGUCUGCCCAG